GCUCUAACAACGGAAGACAAACGAGAAAAGUUCAGAAUGGCGAGUGGCGCAUCAUCCUUGGAUUGCAUCUUGCGUUUCGGAGCUUAUCGUCAUCGCUACGACAUGUCUUGGCCUCGCUUCAAAUCUUAUUCAUCAAUCUAACACGUAUCAACAGAGAACAGACAAAAAUGCUCGUUGGAGAAGCGAAGCGAACAAUAUCCUCCGUAUUGGUGUCUUCUCGCCAGCAUCCGCCAUUAUUGUGUCGUCCUUGAAACGCGUCAAAGCGAAAUACAGACAUACCGAUGAAUCACAGAUUCGGCGUCGCAACUUCUUCUUCUAUGCAAACUUCGAAGAAAAAAUGAAAUGUAGAAUGAGGCUCCAUCAUCUCAAAUCGAAUCGCUUUUCUACCAUCGUGCACGAACAGAAGAAGAGGAUAAAGAUUUUUGCAGGAGAACCGAAAACUUACUGGAUUCGAAGCUUUAAUCACAAACAGGUCACGGUUUUCUACUGAAGAAAUGCAGGUUGAUAGCUGAUUCUGUUUAGCAAAGUCACAGGUUGGCAGUUAGUCAUGAAGGAGUUAUGCUUGAGGUGUUAAACAGAAUUUGCAGGUGGAAAACAAAUUGAACUUUCGGCUAUGUGCUUGGUUUCUUGGAUAGUGUUAUGCCAUGUGGUUGGGUUAAAAGUCAGCUACAUGACAAAUUGAUUAACAUCAAGUCCAGCCAGAAAUGAUGGUUUGCACUUUGAAGCACAUUACCAAAGGUAAUUAUGGAUGUAAACGAAUUGAUAAAUUAGGAUUAUCUUUUUGCUUAUUUUGAAAUUUUGAAAUGUGGAGAUGUAUUAGAAUGAUUUUCUUGUAAUUUGGAUGUAAGUUUAAAUUGACAUUAUAUUGAUUUGAAUAAUGGAAUUUGAAUGGAAUGUAUGGAAAGUUUGAAAUUGUA